rnacentral:rRNA from 1 species
UGGGGAAUUUUGGACAAUGGGCGCAAGCCUGAUCCAGCCAUGCCGCGUGCGGGAAGAAGGCCUUCGGGUUGUAAACCGCUUUUGUCAGGGAAGAAACGGCCUUUUCUAAUACAGAGGGCUAAUGACGGUACCUGAAGAAUAAGCACCGGCUAACUACGUGCCAGCAGCCGCGGUAAUACGUAGGGUGCAAGCGUUAAUCGGAAUUACUGGGCGUAAAGCGUGCGCAGGCGGCUUUGCAAGACAGAUGUGAAAUCCCCGGGCUCAACCUGGGAACUGCAUUUGUGACUGUAUAGCUAGAGUACGGUAGAGGGGGAUGGAAUUCCGCGUGUAGCAGUGAAAUGCGUAGAUAUGCGGAGGAACACCGAUGGCGAAGGCAAUCCCCUGGACCUGUACUGACGCUCAUGCUCGAAAGCGUGGGGAGCAAACA